GGCCAAUAUAGUAUCAUCUACCGAGAACAUUAUACGGGGCAAAUGUUUUGGCGCCCGACAAUACCCGCGAGCGGACGUUUCAAAAGCAGACAUAGGUACGUGUCCUGAACAAGUUGAAUAAUAAUUAUUAUUUCGACGAGUCGAAAUAUCAAUAAUAAUAAUUAUUUACCUCCGCCGCGUUUUACCGUCGUACUACAAUAUUAUAUAAUAUUCCUACGUCGUCCUUGUUGUUAUUAAGGACCGGAUAUAAAUAACCUAAAAAAAUUAAAAAAUAUGCUCUAAAAAUUAGCUGAAAAUGCUUUUCAGCGAAAUAAUACCCUUAAAAAAAUAUCCAAAACUGCUAAAAAUGGAAAAACAGAGGAAAAUAAAAAAAGUUUCAAUUUUGCUGUAGUUAUUUGUUUGAGCUGGGUUCACCACAGAUGUGAACAUAAAUAAUAUCAGGACGUUAUCGAAAUUAUAAACAAAACGGUUGUUAAUCUGUAUUGAUGAAAAAUAUCUGUCAGAUCAAUUCUACCUAUUAAAUCAAUUUCAUGGCAGUAAAAUUUCUUGAAAUUGUAUUUUGAGUUACCUAAAUUUAUAUUAUUAAUUCGUGUAAUA